ACCUGGGUGCUCGCGUCCUCCCCGCGCGGCGGACAGCCCGGGCGCCCUUCCUCUCUGCGGGACUGCAGGUCUAUCCGCUAAGCGCGCGUGACCAAAAACGGCUCUCAGCGGGUCCCAGCUGACGGAAGCUGACAAGUUUAUUUAAUCCCUGAACCUGGAUCCAAGGCAUCUCCCUGUAGAAAACAUCAGACCGGGGCAGAGAUUGACAAAGCAACCCAAAGCAGCAGCUGCCAACGGCCGCUGUGCCCACCUCAUCAGCAGCUAAAGAGUAUAAUUUUAAAAAAAGUCACAGAAGAAUGUGGAGACACUUAGCAAAACGGACUCUCAUAAGGUUCCCUAUUUUGUCAGUAAGGAAGUAAACAACCGCUAAAACAACCCUCUAACAACAGAAGACCCUCAUGAGAACACCAGGCAGCAGAAGCUUCUUUAGCAGUAAAAGAUAUCUGGAUAUUCAUAUUUUGUUCCAUGAUCUUCAACAUUAAAUAAAUAAACUUAAUAUUCAA
ensembl:lncRNA MCHR2-AS1 MCHR2 antisense RNA 1